UACAGAGGGUGCGAGCGUUAAUCGGAAUUACUGGGCGUAAAGGGCUCGUAGGCGGCCAACUAAGUCAGACGUGAAAUCCCUCGGCUUAACCGGGGAACUGCGUCUGAUACUGGAUGGCUUGAGUUCGGGAGAGGGAUGCGGAAUUCCAGGUGUAGCGGUGAAAUGCGUAGAUAUCUGGAGGAACACCGGUGGCGAAGGCGGCAUCCUGGACCGAUACUGACGCUGAGGAGCGAAAGCCAGGGGAGCAAACGGG
rnacentral:rRNA from 1 species